AUGCACCACUGCAAAUUAAAUACAAGAAUUUAGCAUUUGAGUUCAAGUAGCUCAAUGAUCUGAUGACAAUAGAAGUGCAUAUCUGCAGGUAAAGUACUCAUCAAAAUGGAGCAAACAUAUGAAAGAUAGCCACACCGCCCACUUAUCCACUAAACGGAGACCUGGAGCUGUUUUUCGAGUCUCUAGGAUACAUGCUGGAUGUGCAGCAUCUGCCAUUGCCUGCAGGAAGCAUGAACGUCAAAUAAGCAUCAUGACUUGAAUAAACAUAUUGGUCCAUUUGCUAGCUCUUCAGUGUAUUCAAUUGAUCAACUGCACAUGGAAAACCUUGCAAUUCAUAAUGAAUUUCAUUUCAAAAAGAGUUGUAAAAGUAAUUUUGCUAGUGUUGUUUCAACAGCAAAAUACAAUGUAUGAACCAGGAGCAAAACACUAAUGUAGGUAAACAUUGAACAGUAUUUUUUUCUUCAAUUUUCACAAAACUAUGAAGUAUAAUUUCGACCAGUAAUGACAA